GAUGAACGUUGGCGGCGUGCCUAACACAUGCAAGUCGAACGGGAAGCUCAAUUUCGAUUGAGUGGAGAGUGGCGCACGGGUGAGUAACACGUAACUGAUCUGCCCUAGAGAGUGGGAUAACAAUUGGAAACAAUUGCUAAAACCGCAUAAGCUCACAUUUUUUAGAAAGAUGUGAGAAAAACUCCGGUGCUCUAGGAUGAGGUUGCGCCCCAUCAGCUGGUUGGUAAGGUAACGGCUUACCAAGGCGACGACGGGUAGGGGACCUGAGAGGGUGGCCCCCCACACUGGAACUGAGACACGGUCCAG
rnacentral:rRNA from 1 species